rnacentral:rRNA from 1 species
GGAACCGGAGCUAAUACCGGAUAAUAUUUUUAACCGCAUGGUUCAAAAGUGAAAGACGGUCUUGCUGUCACUUAUAGAUGGAUCCGCGCUGCAUUAGCUAGUUGGUAAGGUAACGGCUUACCAAGGCAACGAUGCAUAGCCGACCUGAGAGGGUGAUCGGCCACACUGGAACUGAGACACGGUCCAG